AAUCUGAAACUAAUUGUUGAUAAAAAAAAAACAUAAAACUAUAUCAUUUAGUCUGGGCUUUGAGAGGCUUUUGUACCACUUUGGAUUUUGAUAUGAAUUGAAAAUUGGCCAACAAAAAAAAGAAAUAAAAAUCAACAAACAAAGAAACCUUCACCAACCUGUGCCUCUAUUCCUCACACUACACUUAGAAAAAAAAAAUCAUCAUCACUCUCGAAACUCUUUCGGAGAAACUCUCACUCUCAUUUCUUCGAAUCGCGAUGACUCUGUCCGGCCAAACCUCCGACCGUAUCUCCAGAUCUAGAAGGGAAACUGGUUUCCGUGGGAGAAGACGACAUAUAAGAAGCAGAAGCUGAGAGGUGAAGCGGAGGAAGACGGCAUAGAAGACGAAAAAGCUAAGCCGUGGAUUUAUCGACGAAAUUAGAAGUUGGGAUCUCAAAACCGGGAAAGAUCUGCUUCGAUUCAAGUCGUGUGCUUCUCCGGCGCACAGCCGAAAACUUGGGUCGACUAAAGAAUCAAUUUUUCUAUCAAGCAACAAUGGGUCAAGUUCUCUUUUGCUCUCACACCUAUCCUCUCCGACGUUCUUGAAGGCUUAGUAGUUGCUUUCAUUUGUUAUCCCUUCUUUUUUUUUUUUUUUCUUGUUCCGCUGUAGGAGCAUAGAUUUUCACUUUGAUUCUGCUGAAAACGAGUUUGAUUUAUCUGCUUGAUAUCGGUAGCCAAUGCUGAUGUGAUCCACUUAGUUGCCUUUUCGCGUUUCUCAUCCCCUGUGUGAUUGCAGAUGAGGGAGGAUAAGAAGUAGAAGAAUGAUGAAGGAGAAGUGAGGGAAGGAGUAGCGCAUCAAUAGCUUUGUUGCCACGCGGGUAUAUCUCUUGUCAUUUCUUUCAAAUGUCUAGCUCCAUCUGUUUUGGUCUCCAUGGAGAUCAAGUGUCAGCUGUUUUGGUUGAGUCUUGUGGCUUAAAGAACUUAAGGCUCAACUCGGCUCUCCUCAGUGUCACCAAAGUCACCGAAGACUGGAUUUGGAGAAGCUUGAAAGCGGUUGGCUGGAAGAAGAUAGGUCGAAGAUGAUGUUUGGCUUACAGAGAAAGCCACAGCCAAGCACACUCUUAGACAGAGCUCAUGAUGUACAACUUUAUUUCAGAGCGUAAGGUAAACUUUCAUUGGUUAAGACAUUUUCUUAUCCUAUUGUAUCUUUCGCUAUUAAGGUACAAUAUAUAUACUUUGCUACUUAUUGUUGUGAGACUUUUAUUAAAUCUGUCAAAGAGUCAUUUGUUUAGAAGCCUCUGUUGUAAUUUUUGUGAGGCUUUUUGUUGAAUUUGUCAAGAGUUAUUUGGUAAUACCGAUCUCUAGACACCUGUUUUAUAUGCACUCUUUAACUUGAGUCACCAUUGUCGAUCUUCUUA